AGCUCGUAGUUGGAUUUCAGUUCUGGACUGACGGUUCACCGCCCGGUGAUCACUGUCACGCUCCGAACACUCUGACCAUCCGCUGGCUCGCACGGGGUGCUCUUUACCGAGUGUCCCGCGUGGCCGGCAGAGUUUACUUUGAAAAAAUUAGAGUGCUCAAAGCAGGCUACACUGACGGCCUGAAUGCCUAUGCAUGGAAUAAUGGAAUAGGACCUCGGUUCUAUUUUGUCGGUUUUCUGAACCCGAGGUAAUGACUAAUAGGAACAGGCGGGGGCAUUCGUAUUGCGACGCUAGAGGUGAAAUUCUUGGACCGUCGCAAGACGAACUACUGCGAAAGCAUUUGCCAAGGAUGUUUUCAUUAAUCAAGAACGAAAGUUAGAGGUUCGAAGGCGAUCAGAUACCGCCCUAGUUCUAACCAUAAACGAUGCUGACCAGCGAUCCGCCGGAGUUAUUCCCAUGACCCGGCGGGCAGCUUCCGGGAAACCAAAGUCUUUGGGUUCCGGGGGAAGUAUGGUUGCAAAGCUGAAACUUAAAGGAAUUGACGGAAGGGCACCACCAGGAGUGGAGCCUGCGGCUUAAUUUGACUCAACACGGGGAACCUCACCAGGCCCAGACACCGGAAGGAUUGACAGAUUGAGAGCUCUUUCUUGAUUCGGUGGGUGGUGGUGCAUGGCCGUUCUUAGUUGGUGGAGCGAUUUGUCUGGUUAAUUCCGAUAACGAACGAGACUCUAGCCUACUAACUAGUCGACGGAUCUCCAGCAAUUGGUGUCCAGUCGCAGCUUCUUCUUAGAGGGAUAAGCGGCAAUUCUAGCCGCACGAGAUUGAGCAAUAACAGGUCUGUGAUGCCCUUAGAUGUUCUGGGCCGCACGCGCGCUACACUGAAGGGAUCAACGUGUCCUCCCCCUCCGAGAGGAGCGGGUAACCCGUUGAAAUCCUUUCAUGAUAGGGAUUGGGGUUUGCAAUUGUCUCCCAUGAACGAGGAAUUCCCAGUAAGCGCAAGUCAUGAGCUUGCGUUGAUUACGUCCCUGCCCUUUGUACACACCGCCCGUCGCUACUACCGAUUGAAUGAUUUAGUGAGGCCUUCGGACUGUCGCUCUUGGAUGCCUGAUGGAGGCCCGCUCCGGCGGGUUCUUUCGGAGGCGCCUCGGGCUGACGGAAAGAUGUCC
rnacentral:rRNA from 1 species